CAUUUGUAUACUGAUGUUUAUAGGCAA
rnacentral:piRNA from 1 species